UACAGAGGUCUCAAGCGUUGUUCGGAUUCAUUGGGCGUAAAGGGCGCGUAGGCGGCACAGCAAGUCGGGAGUGAAAGCCCGGGGCUCAACCCCGGAAUGGCUUUCGAAACUGCUGAGCUAGAGUGCAGAAGGGGCAACCGGAAUUCCCAGUGUAGCGGUGAAAUGCGUAGAUAUUGGGAAGAACACCUGAGGCGAAGGCGGGUUGCUGGGCUGAUACUGACGCUGAGGCGCGAAAGCCAGGGGAGCAAACGGG
rnacentral:rRNA from 1 species